UACGGAGGGUGCAAGCGUUAUCCGGAUUCACUGGGUUUAAAGGGUGCGUAGGAGGGCAGGUAAGUCAGUGGUGAAAUCCCCGAGCUUAACUUGGGAACUGCCGUUGAUACUAUCUGUCUUGAAUGCUGUGGAGGUGAGCGGAAUAUGUCAUGUAGCGGUGAAAUGCUUAGAUAUGACAUAGAACACCAAUUGCGAAGGCAGCUCGCUACACAGUUAUUGACUCUGAGGCACGAAAGCGUGGGGAUCAAACAGG
rnacentral:rRNA from 1 species